rnacentral:rRNA from 1 species
UACGGGGGGGGCAAGCGUUGUUCGGAAUUACUGGGCGUAAAGGGUUUGUAGGUGGCCAACUAAGUCAGACGUGAAAUCCCUCAGCUUAACUGGGGAACUGCGUCUGAUACUGGUUGGCUUGAGUGCAGGAGAGGAACGCGGAAUUCCAGGUGUAGCGGUGAAAUGCGUAGAUAUCUGGAGGAACACCGGUGGCGAAGGCGGUUCUCUGGGCCUUACCUGACGCUGAGGAGCGAAAGCGUGGGGAGCGAACAGG